GCAUGGGUUUGGAUUUAUGGCAGGCCCGUCCCCCUGGGCCUCUCAUAGUGUCCCAUGCCACAGCACACCGUAACCCUGAACCAUUGCCUAGCCUUGUCCAUAGGCUUCGGCACUGAAGCGAGUUGCACAGUA
rnacentral:snoRNA from 1 species